GCCCAGGUGGCGGAACUGGUAGACGCGCAGGACUUAAAAUCCUGUUGCCUGUAAAGGCAGUAUCGGUUCGAUUCCGAUCCUGGGCACAA
rnacentral:tRNA from 3 species